UACGUAGGGGGCAAGCGUUGUCCGGAUUUAUUGGGCGUAAAGAGCGUGUAGGCGGCCAAGCAGGUCCGCUGUGAAAACUCGAGGCUCAACCUCGAGACGUCGGUGGAAACCAUUUGGCUAGAGUCCGGAAGAGGAGAGUGGAAUUCCCGGUGUAGCGGUGAAAUGCGCAGAUAUCGGGAAGAACACCCGUGGCGAAGGCGGCUCUCUGGGACGGUACUGACGCUGAGACGCGAAAGCGUGGGGAGCGAACAGG
rnacentral:rRNA from 1 species